UACGGGGGGAGCAAGCGUUGUUCGGAUUUACUGGGCGUAAAGGGCGCGUAGGCGGCCACCGCAAGUCGACUGUGAAAUCUCCGGGCUUAACCCGGAAAGGUCAGCCGAUACUGCGGGGCUAGAGUGCAGAAGGGGCAACUGGAAUUCUCGGUGUAGCGGUGAAAUGCGUAGAUAUCAGGAGGAACACCGGUGGCGAAGGCGGUUCUCUGGGCAUUACCUGACGCUGAGGAGCGAAAGUGUGGGGAGCGAACAGG
rnacentral:rRNA from 1 species